AUAUAUAGGAUGGUGGUGGUAGUGUUAUUCCAACUCAGACCUAUUUUGCUUAGGAGUAUAAAUCAGAGUUGAGCAAAAACUUUGUCAGUCUUAUUGUUGUAGAAAAUCAGAAAAGGAAAAAGUAAUGGAGUUGGGACGUUAUUGGUGGUGGCCGGUGGUGUUAGUUUUGGUUCAUUUUGGUAUGAAUGGGUGCCUUGGUUGCUGGGAGAAAGAGAGAAUUGCUCUCUUGGAACUGAAAGCUUCCAUAGUCAACUACUCUAAUGAAUAUUAUUUUCCUCAUUGGGACUCAGCUGACAAAGAGAGUGAUUGCUGUGAGUGGGAAAAAGUCAAGUGUAACAUCACUACUGGCCGUGUAAUCCAACUUACUCUUAAUAGGAUGAUGUCUUAUUCGAGUAGAGAAAGUGGGGGAGGUUGGUACUUUAAUGCCUCUUUAUUUCUUCCAUUUGAAGAGCUCCAGUACCUCGAUUUGAGUUUUAAUUUCAUUUCUGGAUGGAUCCCAAACGAAGGUACUAAGUUUAUAUCUUAAGAAAAGUAGGUAGUAUUUGUCAAUAUUUUACUUUUUCCUAUUACCUCUUUGUUUUUUUUAAUGGAUGUGAAAAAAAUUAGUCGAAUUUUAGAAUCAUUUUAUACUGUUUUGUGGGAAUAUAUAGUUGCUGACAUGCAAAUUGAAGCAUCUAAAUUGCAGGUUUUGAAAGAUUCUCUACGUUGGGCAAGCUGGAAGUGCUUAACUUGGGUUAUAAUAAUUUUAAUAAUAGAAGUUUACAAUCCUUUAGAGGUACUAUUGCUUCGCUCAAGGAACUACAUUUGGAUCACAACAAUUUGAAUGGAUCAAUCCACAUCCAAGACUUCAAAGCAUUUAACAACUUGGAGGAGCUCUACUUGGGCGGAAAUUAUAUCAAUGACUUCGUGAAAACGGAAGAUUCAAACAACUUAAGUAAGUUGCAAGUCCUAGAUUUGAGUUACAACAAUUUUAAUGCACGAAUUCUUGAGUUAGUAGCUGCCUUCCCAUCGUUGAAGAUAUUAAAUAUUGGAGGAAACGAUUUGGAAGGAUCGUAUACUACUAAAGAGUUAGGUGCACUAAACAACCUAGAGCAGCUGUACUUGGAUGAUUCAUCAAUUGAUAAAAGCUUCCUUCACAAAGUCGGAGUUAUGAAUUCUCUUGAAGUAUUGUCAGU